CCUACGGGAGGCAGCAGUGGGGGAUAUUGCACAAUGGGGGGAACCCUGAUGCAGCGACGCCGCGUGGGUGAAGAAGGGCCUCGGCGCGUAAAGCCCUGUCAGCAGGGAAGAAAAUGACGGUACCUGACGAAGACGCCCCGGCUAACUACGUGCCAGCAGCCGCGGUAAUACGUAGGGGGCAAGCGUUAUCCGGAUUUACUGGGUGUAAAGGGGGCGCAGACGGGGAUGCAAGCCAGAAGUGAAAGCCCGGGGCCCAACCCUAGGACUGCAUUUGGAACUGCGUGGCUGGAGUGCAGGAGGGGCAGGCGGAAUUCCUGGUGUAGCGGUGAAAUGCGUAGAUAUCAGGAGGAACACCGGUGGCGAAGGCGGCCUGCUGGACUGCAACUGACGUUGAGGCCCGAAAGCGUGGGGAGCAAACAGGAUUAGAUACCCGAGUAGUC
rnacentral:rRNA from 1 species